rnacentral:rRNA from 1 species
AAAACCCUUAUCCCAUGCUGUUCAACCCUUUGUCUUUUGCGUACUGCAUGUUUCCUCGGCGGGUUCGCCCGCCGAUAGGACACUUCAAAACCUUUUGUAAUUGCAAUCAGCGUCAGAAAAACUAUAAUAGUUACAACUUUCAACAACGGAUCUCUUGGUUCUGGCAUCGAUGAAGAACGCAGCGAAAUGCGAAAAGUAGUGUGAAUUGCAGAAUUCAGUGAAUCAUCGAAUCUUUGAACGCACAUUGCGCCCCUUGGUAUUCCAUGGGGCAUGCCUGUUCGAGCGUCAUUUGUACCCUCAAGCUCUGCUUGGUGUUGGGUGUUUGUCUCGCCUUCGCGCGUGGACUCGCCUUAAAGUGAUUGGCAGCCGGAAUAAUUCUGGGGAACGCAGCACAACUGCAGCCUCCAUUUUACGCCGAGCGUCCAGUAAGCCUUUUUUUUCACGUUUGACCUCGGAUCAGGUAGGGAUACCCGCUGAACUUAAGCAUAUCAA